GGGAGAGCGGGGCAGCGGGGCCCUGGUUGUACCCCGGUCCGUGUGAGAGGGUCAGCCCCCGCGGCCCACACACACAGGCCGCGGGAACAUGAUCCGCAACCGGAACCGAGUUUGCGGCGUGGAGGAGAUUAAAGCCAAGAGGCGGCAGCACGAGUGGGCUCUGAGGAAAGCACGCAAGGAAAAACAGUUGGUUAGCAAAAGAUUGCCGAGGGGUCUGCAGGACGAUGGAGAGGACCUGGAGAUCAGAGAGACUUCAGUUACUCGGGAGGAGGUUUUGCAGCUGUAUCAGAGGAUUCAGCAUGGAUCAGAUGAUCGUCUUACUGCUUUACGCUCUCUACGUCGAGUGCUGCACCUGAAGGAGGCACAGCAGAUUUUUGUCAGGUUCGAAAACAGUAUCCGUGUCCUUAACGGUCUCUUCACCAGCAACCUGGCAUCGGUUCAACUUGAGGCUGCCCAGUGUUUGCUCGAACUCUCUCACUCCGAUGAUCCCAGCGUCUCGCUUGUCUGUUUGCCAGCAACACCCUACCUCCUGACGUACCUCUCCGGCCAAAGUGCUACGUUCACGGAGCUGUGCCUGUACAUACUGGGCAACCUGGCAGCUGAGAAUGAAGCAGUUCGGAGUCAGCUUCUGCUGCAAGGUGUGAUCCAAGCUUUGUCAGUCUGUCUGCAGUCACCUCAUGGAGCUGUGGUGGAGGCUACGGCUUAUUUGCUGUCACAAAUGCUGCAGGCGAAGGAAGCAGGAGAGAAGAUCAUCCUAGCAGUCCUGGAAGCCAAUCUGACUGCACGCUUGAUUCGUUUGUUGGAUCUAGAUUCGGAGUUUGGGAUGCAGACCACCGUGGAAUGUGCCUGGUGCCUGCAUUACAUCGUGAGUAGUGGUAUAAACAGUGAGUGCAUGAUCUCCCAGGGUCUCAUAAGCCAAGCUGUAAAACUGCUGAUUGCACUGGGAAGAACUGUUGAUUCAGGCACAACAGAUGGUGUGGAAUUGCUGAUCUACCCUGUGGCUCGGUGCUUGGGAAAUCUCAUCGCCAGUGAUGAACGACAGUGGUGCAGAAGCCAGUUUCAUGACGGUGACUUGCUGCAGGCACUGAGCGUGUUCCUGCGUGGGUGUCUGCAGUCAUGGCCUUUUGUAACCCGGGAAUGCCUCUGGCUUCUCAACAACCUCUCAGCUGGUGAUAGACAGUUCUGCUCUGCUAUCUUAUAUCAUAACCUGGUGCCGGUGUUCCUUCAGCUAAUCCCUUUCUCUGGUGGGAUAAAUACACUGGUUUUGAUGCUGUUGGGUAAUGUUGCAGAGCUGGGGCUUGAGUACUGCGAAAAUCUACAACAGCAAAAAGGCUUAUUUCCUGCUCUCUGCACCACCCUCAGCACGGCUGACCCAGAGGUAGCACGUAUGACGCUGGAAGUGCUGAAUCUGAUAUUUUCAUAUUGUCAGCAGGCCUGUGCAAGAUUUGCAAAUCAAAAUGGAAUCUUGGCUCUUGAGAUGGUUCAGUAUCACAGCAAUGAUGAAGUCAGAGUGCGAGCCAACUUUCUAAUGGACAGAUACUUUGCAGACAAGAUUUAACAGAUGGCCAGCAUUAACUAUUGUUCUGGAAGUGUGUUCACAAUUUCCACAACCCUUCACAGGAUGUUUAAUGUCAUCCCAAGCUGCUUGUUGGUCAGAAUAGUAAUGAAGCCCAUUUGCUGGAAGAGUGCAGAAAUGCUUUACCUGUCUUGCUGGCAGAGGUCACUCUCCUUGUUCUCUGCCUCCUCCGAUGACCUGAAGACAUUCAGUAUAUGCAGGGUUUGGGUCACUGGCUAAUCUUUACCAUGGCCAAGCACUGUUACUCAAACUGACAUUGAUACAUGUAGGCUUGUUGAUGCCUGUGCCAGGCCUGCCUUGAGCCUUUAGCAGACAUCUGCACUUUUCUAUUGUACAUUUUUGUCAGAGAAUGGAAUGCUUUCAUUUCAGUAACCUGGUGUUAAACUCCCAAGCACAUCCACAUCUGGUACAGCACUAUAUGAUGCAAAGUAACCUCCUCUCUGACCUCUACCCUUGACUGCAACACAGAGACAUUGUACCAUUUCUCUACGAGCAUCCUCCUACAAUUGAGGCUGCUGUGGGUAGUGUACUACUUAUGGUUGUCAUUUUUUAACAAUAAUACUGACGACAAAAGCUGCAUUUAUAUAGCUCUAACUAAUUGCUAAAAGUUCUAGAAAAGCUCAAUAGGUCUGGCAAAAUCUGUAAGUCCUUUGAGCCUAUUCUGUCAUUCAUUGACAUCAUGGCUGAUCACAGAGAAAAGUAUUUAUGAUUUGAGUCCACCAUGACUUCAUAACUGCCAAUCUUAAUAGGCAAAAGUAGUUUGUGUGUACAUUGCACCAUCUUCUUUGAGGAAAGGGUCAUAGAGACUCCUAAUGCCUGUUUAACCUGCCAUGUCUAAUCAGAGUUGAUCUGCCUUGUCUGUGUUUUUCAGCUAAGGAUUGACAGCUAACACGUUCUGCUGCAGCUUUUUUCAAGUUUUGCUUCCUGUUUCCCAGUCCUGCUGAGCACAAGAUGAAAGAUUUUGGUUUCUUGACUAUUUUAGCAAUGUUUCUAUAGCUCUUGAACUAAAUCUAAGAUUUUUUUAAC